rnacentral:rRNA from 1 species
UACAGAGGGGGCAAGCGUUAUUCGGAAUUAUUGGGCGUAAAGGGCGCGUAGGCGGCUUGGCAAGUGGAAGGUGAAAUCCCUCGGCUUAACCGAGGAACUGCCCUCCAAACUGCUUUGCUUGAGGCCGGGAGAGGUGAGUGGAAUUCCCAGUGUAGCGGUGAAAUGCGUAGAUAUUGGGAGGAACACCAGUGGCGAAGGCGGCUCACUGGACCGGUACUGACGCUGAACUGCGAAAGCCAGGGGAGCAAACGGG